UGCCUGUCAAGCACAGCCCCUCCACGCCGAACAUUCCUGAGCUUUCCUGGGCCUUUGACCUACAAGAGGAAGGAAUACGCAGAGAGACGGAUACUCGGAUCUCGUUCGAAUUCCAUUCAUGCCUGCACUCGCAGCUUGCCAGUCUUCUUUGACGAGGUGGUGAAGCAGAUGGUGGCAGCAUUUGAGUGCCAGGCCGGCAAACUGAGACGAGGAUCCCCCGGGAGCUGAUGUUUCACAAGGUUCACCAGACGUGAGCGGGACAGUCAGCGGCACAGGACCCGCUCGAGACAAAAGCUGACGACCCUGUACCUGUUUUUUUUAAAACUUCUAUUUAUUCAUCACUGUUCUACGUUAUAAUGGCACUAAUUUAUGAAGAGACGGACCUGCCAUCGACAGACAGACUCAGGUUUGUGUGUUGCAAAGAGAGAAAAAUCCAGUGGAGGUCACGAGGUUACGCGAUGCGGCGCGAGGGGAAGGGGUUUCCCAGGCGGCUGUUGCUCUGGAUUCCAUCUGGGAACUUGCACCGAAGGGGCCUGAGCCUGAGCAGGACCCUGAGAGCAAAUCUUAGUGCUCAAUAUUUUUAUUUUUUUUAAAUUAUUUUGUUUAAAAAAGGAAAUUGUGCGUGUGCGGAGUGUUUGCGGGGUGGAGCGUGCGGGGCAUAUGCAGAGCGUGUGCGGGGCGGAGCGUGUGCAGGGCCUGGGUGGAGCAUGUGCAGGGCAGAGCGUGUGUGGGUGUGUCUUGAGGGUGUGUGUAGUGCCUCCCAUCAGAAAUGCUUCCGUUUGUGGGCAGUUGUUGGUUUUCUUAUAACUAUCUUGUUUUUCUGCAUAAAGAACCACAAAAGCAUU